rnacentral:rRNA from 1 species
GACAGAGGUGCCAAGCGUUAGGCGGAAUCACUGGCUUAAAGCGUGUGUAGGCGGAAUGGUAAGUACUUGUGAAAUCCCAACAGCCUUAACUGUGGAACUGCUUGGUAUUACUGCUUUCUUGAGCCACUUAGGGGCUACCGGAACAAAUGGUGGAGCGGUGAAAAUGCGUAGGAUAAUCAUUUGGAACGCCAAUGGUGAAAACAGGUAGCUGGGAGUGUGCUGACGCUGGAGAACACGAAAGCCAGGGGAGGCGAAACGGGA